CUGGAUAACACUAGGUUUGUGUUUGUUAGACGUCGAUCACUUGGCGACUAGUUUUUUGUGUUGGCACUCGUUCAGAUUAUCCAUCUUCAGGUUCGUCCAUCAGCUUCACUAUGCGGAGUAGUCCACUAGUUACGUCAUCUUGGGGUCGACUCAGUUCUUGUCUUCCGCAUCACGUGAUCAACUACCGUACCUAAUGAGAUGCAUGAUGCACAUGUAUGAAUGUACAUAGGAAUAGCAUAAGACAAAUAAUCUACACCAAAGAGGAUGAAAGACUUAUAAUAAAGCAUUAAGCAAAUACUAGCUAACGGUAUAGGACUAAUUAUAAUAAUUACGCUAUUCCAGUCUAGUCGGAGGUAGCUCAUACAUCAAGAAACCCUAAACCUUGUACGAGUCCUAUAUUUUCCUUAGAUAGCGCAUAACACCGAAAGACUAACAAUAUUCAAACUCCUAUUAUUGGACACCCUGAGUUAUAGUACAUGCAGGAAUAAUUUAACUAACCUUUUAAAUCAGGUUUUUAGAUUAAUUUGAAUUACAUACUAAUUAAAUAGGACAUUACACUAUUCGCUCUAACGGAUAAAACAUUAUCAAAUAAUAUAGCGUUUGAUAAAACUACAUUCUCAACAACUUAAAUAUCGAGAGUACUUAUGUACACUGGCCAUUAUGAAAUUCUCGGAUUUUACUUAAGAUCUACUUCAAGCAUCGACGAAAUAAAUCCAAAGCAAUUUAAUCAACAUCUAUCUGCCAGACCUUAGAAACACUAGUCCUAUAAUUUUUUAUUAUUAAUUUGGUCACAUAAUUUAGAUGUGUCUACCCUUACCUUUCAUAUGAAUCACAUCUAAAAUCUUGAUUUCAACACACAUAUGCUAAAUCAAGAAAAUCACCACAUUCAACAAUUUAGCUAGCAGGAAUAAUAGAUCAUCUUACCAUGACCGAUCUGACACGAUAGUCGGAAGAACGACAAUGGUUUUCGCUUGACGUCUUUGACCGCACACACCUGACGAGCGAUGCACAUAAUCUCGUUUUUUACUAGAUACUCAGGGGAUGCAUUUUGUCGAGCUGGUGGUGCGUGGCCAGCACAAGAGCAUCUUCACGGUUUGAUGACGACAUAAUGGAAACAGAUUGGUUUAACGCGAUGAGCAGAAGCACUCGUGACGUAAAGAAGUCCCCACGAUAACGUCGUGGAAGCAGCUACAAGGUGUGGCAACGGGCUACACGGACUUGGCGUACACACGUUGCUGGGGAAUAGCGCAUGAUGCGACGGGGAGGUGAGAUGUCUAGGAGAGCUCACAGCGACAGUUGGCUAGAGAAUAAUGUCCCGGCGAGCAUGACCAGGGAGG
rnacentral:lncRNA from 1 species